AACGCACAUUGCGCCCGCCAGUACUCUGGCGGGCAUGCCUGUCCGAGGGUCCAGGCAAAGGAGGUAUCUCACAUCACGUGAUACCCCGGGAAAGAAAAUAUGCGUACGAGAAUUUUAGUAUAUAAUACUCCGUAUUUACUAAUGGCUUCAUUAGAUAUGGGUUUAUUUUUAAAGAGUGUUCCAUGCUAUCCGUACAGAUAAAAUCACCUCAAUGCGCUGAUUACGCCACCC
rnacentral:misc_RNA from 1 species